CCUACGGGUGGCAGCAGUGAGGAAUAUUGGUCAAUGGGCGCGAGCCUGAACCAGCCAAGUAGCGUGAAGGAUGACUGCCCUACGGGUUGUAAACUUCUUUUAUCAAGGAAUAAAAUGAGGCACGUGUGCCUUUUUGUGUGUACUUUAUGAAUAAGGAUCGGCUAACUCCGUGCCAGCAGCCGCGGUAAUACGGAGGAUCCGAGCGUUAUCCGGAUUUAUUUGGGUUAAAGGGAGCGUAGAUGGGUUGUUAAGUCAGUUGUGAAAGUUUGCGGCUCAACCGUAAAAUUGCAAUUGAUACUGGCAGUCUUGAGUACAGGUGAGGUAGGCGGAAUGCGCGGUGUAGCGGUGAAAUGCAUAGAUAUCACGAAGAACUCCGAUUGCGAAGGCAGCUUACUAAA
rnacentral:rRNA from 1 species